GACUAUUGCUUUGUCUCAUGCGUGGCAUCUGUGAUCUGUCUUCGCAAAUCACCUUCCCCUACCUCUCGAUUACCUCUCCCACCGAUGUGAGCUUCUCCCAGCCAGAUCCUCUGCUCCUUCGCUGGCUCCCCCCGCCGAAGUUCCUCCUUCCUUAUCCCCCGAACUUUCACCGGCUUCCCCUCCCCUCUCUACCAGUACCAGAUACCCUACCCAGAAGCAGAACGGGCUGCCCCCGUUCAAGCAGGCCAAGUGUGUGGCCGGAGAUAAGGUUUGGGAAGGUCAGCUUCAAGCGGAGGAUGGAGAGAUCGGCGUUUCAGCCUGGUGUUGAGAGACGCCGGAGGCGACCAACCAUCUAUGGCACAGGGAGGUGGAGCCAGGCUGGGGCGGGUGGUAGGCGGCAGGAGGCAGCGCUGCUUGGGCAACGAGGUAGAGGCGGUGGCGGAUUCAGGCGGAGCAGCCUGGGACAAGCUGUUGGCGACGUGCAGCUGUUGUGGUCCUGGACGUCCGCGUCAAGCUGCGUCUAUUGUGGAGAGCGGCGGCGAGGCAGCGGCGGAUUCAGAUGUGACCAGCCCGGGACGAGCUGCCGGCGAGGUGCAGCCCGUGUCGUCGCGGACGUCCGCGUCAAGCUGCGGCCGCCGCGGGUAGAGGGGAGUAGUAGCGCUGGAGAAGAGCAGCAAGGGAGGAUCGACACCGACGAGGAGGCGGCGAGUUCAGGUGGGCUGCGAUGCCACGAGACUGCUAUUCUGAGUUCUUGGUUCCCAACCUCUCUGCUGCCCUUGCUAUGCGUGAUUCUUCGGUUUCUCCUGCUGAUGGAGUGCCUGCGUUAAUGGCUGGGUCAGUUGCACGAGUUGCUCCAUGGUGGCGUGUUUCUGCUACUCCUUCUACUUCUCACGUGGCAGCUGCAAAUCUCCCUUGCUAUUUGGCUAUGCGUCAGUAUACUGCUCUUGUUCGACCAGGUCAGCUUGCUAAUUGUUCAGAUAGAUACACCUUGCAAAAUUGUUGGCCAAUCUGAAACAGAUGGCUAUAAUGAAUAAGUUACACGUUGGGACAGUUUUAGCCUCCAUGUCUAAUCCAAAAAAAAAACAGAGUAGUGAUACUGUUUGCUAAAUAGUCCUACGCUCCUAUGUGUUAAGAAGAAGAUGAUUGAUCUUCGAGCAUCGAACAAACUAGCCCGGUAUUCAUUAAUGUGCGUGUAUAAGAAAUGUGCAUUCCAUGUUUUCAACACAGGUGUAAAGUAUAUAAAUGCGCACAUUACACACAUUAUAUAUAGAUGCCAAAAUGUGGUGGCCUACAUCCUUUUGGAGUGUCACAAAGUUUGCGGCUUGAGAAAAGUAGGGGACCAUCGUGAGGCAAGAACGCACGCUGUCAUAGCAACUUAAGAAGGCAAGGUGCCACACUGUCCUACCAAGUUAAGAAAGGAUGAGACAAUCCCAACUAUCUGGAACAAAAAAAUAUUUGGGUACGAAAUUUGAAUAGGCAAACGAUUAGUAUACAGAUUUUUUCACACGGUGUCCCAUCAUUUAAAGCAGUAUUCAUAAGAAAUAACCAAAGCUGUCUGCACUAUGGCCUUCAACAUAUUUGCUGAUGUCACAAGAAGUGCAUACCGAAUCAUUCAGCGUAUCUGCAGAUUGCUUUAGUAGUAGCCCAACAUCCAGAGCAUUAAGUGCAAGCUGAAGGGAAGGGUAGAAGGGUAGGCAUUGUUGAGUCCUUGGCUUUGUUGCUCUUCCUGGGCUGAUUUUUUACCUGAUAGAUUUUGCGUGCUAUCUGAAAAUCGAACACUCAGGUCAAACAUGGAAGACGUAAUAACAUGUAGUAUUUAUAGGUAGCAUAGUAUUUAUAACACAAAGGCCCAUUCAAGAAUAUAUAUGCUUACACAUGCAACCAAGAUUUAAAUCUGGACUACCAGUAUAGGCCAGCAAAAAAUAAAAUCUAGAAGGCAAAGAGGCCAAAAAAUGUGCAUGCUUUGUAGGAGAAUUUAGCUUGGGGGCCAAGAAACUAUAAUUGCCAGCUGCAGAUUUUCUGGAUUGAGCCCUCCCAACAGGAUCUUUGUCCUCCAGUUAAACUUAGGUGGUCAGCUUCCAACGUUCAUACUCAUGGAAAUAACUUAGCAAGGUAGAAUAUAACAAGUUGCUAUAAUGGUGCUUAAAAGAGAAGAAUGAAUACAAACGAUAGUAGGUUUUAUAUUCAUUAGGGCUGUCGCAGACUUGAAACUCUCAAAUUAGCAGAGAAUUGUAGGGUCCUCAUGCAUGUCGCGUAGAUGGUUAUGCACUAUGUUAAAAACUGCCAUCAGUGCAUUCAGUCGUUGUUUUUCUGUUGUGCGUGCGCCUGCUAUAUAUAGAAUUUCUACAUUUACUUCAUUGAUGUAUGCUUAGUUGCUUACACAGAAAGAGAAUCAGGUUUGAAUAUAACAUCACAUGAAUGAGUAGGACAACAGCUGCACAAUCACUCUCAAAAUUAAAUGGGCCAUGGCACCAGGAGCAGCAAGGUCGAUGCUCUCUUGGCAAAUGUGCGCCAACUCAGAAGACCAAGUUGCAGUCAAUUUCUUGCUACUACACCGAGACCGGUUUCCCCGGCCAGUUGAUGCAGAAAAGUAGGAUAUCUCUGAUGCUGGACAUAUAUUGUAUGUAUGCCUACAGUUUUAGCGUGCUUCUCUGACGCUAGCUGGUUGUGGGAAGUGCCUUAAACUCCAAACCAUCUUUUAGUUGCAUUCUGAUUGUUCAUGUGAUAUGGAUAAACCAUGAUCAUGCAUCUGGCUCACAACUACAUUAACUAUAGAUAUGGAACCAAAGUUAUAAACAGAUGAAAAUAAAUAGAAAAUCAUUUCAAAAUAUUAUGUGGAAAUGACCUACCCAUCGUUUACAAUUUCAACUGGUCAUAGCCAAGUAAUAUGAAUGCAUUAGUUAUUUAAGAGAAAAAAAUCAAAUUUAGAGAAACAGGGCUAUCGUGUUUUCAAGACCUGAAGAGCAUGCAUAUUUCAUGUUUGGUUGGCCUAACAUCUUUAGGUGGAAUUAAUUCAUCAAAAUUAAAAUUAUCCAUGUGUUUUUUGUAGCCGUGCAAAUGUAUGCUUAAUGUAGUACAUGGUAUGUUCAUGCAAAGUUUGAAUAUAUAAAGAUCAUAUUUAUGCUUUGUCUUUGGGAGAUGAACUGCAUAUAAUCUGCAUGUUCCUUUUUUGUUGUCUUGAAUAUUUCUAGCAACGAAUGAUUUCUACAAAUCGAAUGAUCCAUUUAAUAAAUUUCAUUCUAAUCUAUAGAAAAGUACCUUUAAUAUAUUAGCAUGUGUAUGUAUGCAGUGAACAUUUCCUGUGGUAAUCAAUAUUUCACAUAAAACUGACAUUUUAAUCAUAGGAUUUGCGUCAUCUCAAUCCAAUGCUUACUGCAUAGGCCUAUACUUUAGAUUGCAUUGUACUUGAUAAUCUGCAUUCACAAUGAGAUCAUCAAGAUAUAGAUAUUACCAUGUGUUCUGGGAUUUAUCUUCAUUUCCCAGAUAUUGAUCCUUUAGGUGCCAUUUUUAUUGCUAUUUUAUACUAAACAUAAUCCCUUCAAAAGUCAUUCGCAUUUAUGCUACAUAUGCAUAGUUAGGGGCCAUUGAUGCCAUGAAAGAAGGACAUAUGAAUCUUUUAGUUAAGAUUGUCUUUAGUAUUUCCCUGUCCUACAAGCAACUCCGAUGUGAAGAAUUAUAAAUUUAGUAUUAAUUGUUGGCCUCACUUGCAGUACUCCAACAUUGGAGAGUGUAGUUAAAAUGCUGCCAAUGCUCAAAUUAUUGGCUUCACCAAAAAAGAUUAUGAAAUAUUCAAUGUCAGUUAGGGUCAUAGAGAAACCAGCAGGAGAUCUCAGAUUUGUGGAUGUGGCCAACAUGGGCGGCAUCAUCGAGCUCAAAAGCUCCUUCCAGGGAUGCUCAACAUCCUCUAAUAGAAUAACAAAUCCACAACUCCAACAAUAAGGAGUGAAGAAGAAGGGAAAUAUACAUGCUCCCUUCGACGAUGAAGCAGACUCCACGCCAUCCAUCGAUUUCUCCACCAACCGCCAACAACUCAUCAUACUUCCCUCCGUCAAUGAGGACAACAACGCCGAGCACUGUUGGCUCAAAGACCAAACAACAACAGCAUUAACAGUAGUACCAUCCUAUUAUGUUAUUUCCUCCAGACAUGGAUCACCAAAACAUGUUGUGCCUUAGAUGAAGUAGAACCUGAUGUCUUCUCAUUAUCCCAUAUAUAGGACAAUGCCAUUAAAUAUGUAGUCAGAUCUAAUUAUGUAUCAGUGCAUGUGUUACUUAUGCAAGGGAAUUUCAUGAACUAUGUAAUUAAGUAUAAUUAUAUAUCA